GCCCAGGUAGCUCAGUUGGUUGAGCAUCCGACUCUUGAUUUCAGCUCAGGUAAUGAUCCCGAGGUCAUGGGAUCAAGCCCCAUGUUGGGCU
rnacentral:tRNA from 1 species